GAGACAUCACCUCGAUCGGCUUGUGUUUUACAAUGUGGAAGAGGCGCUCCUGCGAUCGAGAGCGCAUUGCCUCAAUAAGAGAAUCGAACCCGUAACCUAUUGCAUAGUUAUAGCGCCUUACAUUGCCAAGCAUUACCGUAAGAGGUACAUAUUCGCUCCUCCGUGCGCUUUUCUAGCAUUUGUUUAGAUCUUUUAACUAUUUUAUAAUUUCUCCGUCAAUAUAGAUUUUAAUUGGAUUCGCUAAAAGACUUGUUAUUUUGGAUGCAUAUAAAAGACCAAUUUUGUAUGAUUACAUUUAUAAUAGCCUAGAAGCUUCUUAUUUUUAUGUUUCUAUUUUUUAAUUAUUUGUAUUCAGUCGCCUUAUUUUCCGCGCUAGGCUUUAUUCAAUAAAAGACUAUGGUCUGUGUUAUGAGGGUCAGAGAUAACCUAAAUAAUAUCCCCGUUCGUUGGACCGCUAUGAGGUCAGAACGACGCGCCGGUCCGGUGCCUCAGCGUCCUGACGGAAGGGCAGCUCCCGUUAAAGCGGACAUCGGCGCUUUAAACGGGCUACAGCCCCGGGGCAUCACACCCUGAACCCACAUGCGAUGGCCAGGGAAGAGGAAACCAAAAGAGAUGAAUUUCCAGAGAAAACUCGGAGCAACCGGGGAGCAGACCGGAGGAGGGAAAACACUCAGUGGCAAACGGUGAGAACCAGGGGAUACCCGUCGGCAGUGCCGUGAACCAUGCAGCCACCGAUCCGGGACGUGCAUCUCGACCCUCCGUUGAGCCGCCAAAGGAAAGAUCCUUAUCCGGAUCGGUACCGGACCCCAACUCCAGAGGGUCGAGCCGGGCCCCGUCCCACCCUAACACUGAGAAAUCUGCUUUCUGAAAAAAGGAACAGACAGGAGGAAGAACGAGGACCUGGCUCGCAUCAACCCACGCUGAGCCUCCAGAAGGGUCUUCCUGGUAACUCACUUCCUGGUUUUCACUUUGCUCCACACCACCCUUUUGCAACCAAUCACAAAAACAUUGUCUGAUUGGCCUGUAGUUAUGUAAAGGAGGGGUCAUUUUGCCACUCUAAAUUAUGUUUCAUUUCAUCGGCCUAUGCUAGUGUCGUUUACUUCAAGAUAUGUCAUUAAGUCCAAUAAUAAUUCAAAUGUUAAAACUAUAAUUAUAAAUGUAAUUUCCGUUGAUAUUUUUGACUUAAUAUAAAGCUUAAGCAUUUCAUUUUAAUUACUUCUCUAUUCCUUUAUGUUAAAAAAUAGUGUAUAAUAUUACAAAAGAUGUAUGGGAAUGAAAUAAAUGUUGCUUAACAAAA